AAUUUCAAAUUGAGUGUUAAUUUUGUGUGUUAUACUCAUUUUACGUUCAAUUGUGAGGCCUGAGCUUUAUUUUUCCGUUUAUUGAACUGCAGAUGCUAGUCACCUUCAAAUCGGCAUCAUGGCCGUCUAUCCGGUCGAUGGGUUAUGUAAUGGAGCUCGGCCCAAGUGAGCGCGUGAUCAGAAGUAUCAGUUCCGAAUCGAGUAUACUACGCGCCGACCGGGCCGCUAAACGGAGACAUUAUUUCUAGAAAGAUCCGCGCCUUGCCGGCCUAUGUCCCCUUGAGUGGGUCAUUAGCCGCUGCGGCAUGGGUCGGUCAGCUGGACUAGCCUGGCAUCGACUCCUGUUGAUAACCCUGGGCCGCCAAAUGCCCAUGGGAUGUUCCUUGGGCGAGGAUUCCCAAGUGGGGCCAGACCGGGAAACCAUAACAGGAGCCUAGCCAAUGCUUCGCACCUUGUAUCUGCAGCAUAAAUCAACCAUCCCAGUGAGUGUACCUACAUUUGACUCCAUAAAGAGUCCGUCCGCCACUCUCAUUAUUAUUUGCAUCCGAGCAGUCACCCUUGGGACCCAACUUUAACUUAAGGCUUGCCGUUUCGAACUCCACCCAUAGGUUCAAUAAAAAAUGCAUUGACCUAUUGUGUAAAUAGUUAAAAUUUGAAAUACUUGGAAAUGUAAUUGAUUACCAAAUUG